rnacentral:rRNA from 1 species
UACGGAGGGUGCAAGCGUUAUCCGGAAUCAUUGGGUUUAAAGGGUCCGCAGGCGGGAAUGUAAGUCAGAGGUGAAAUCCUACAGCUCAACUGUAGAACUGCCUUUGAUACUGCGUUUCUUGAAUUCGAUCGAAGUGGGCGGAAUAUGACAUGUAGCGGUGAAAUGCAUAGAUAUGUCAUAGAACACCGAUAGCGAAGGCAGCUCACUAGGUCUGAAUUGACGCUCAUGGACGAAAGCGUGGGGAGCGAACAGG